UGCAAUCUAAUGAGGAUUCUCAUUUCUCCACAUCCUUGGUAAUAAGUUUUGGCAAAGAUGUGGAAAAAUUGCAAUCCUCAUUGGAUCGGUUAUAACCA
rnacentral:pre_miRNA from 13 species